rnacentral:rRNA from 1 species
GACGAACGCUGGCGGCGUGCCUAAUACAUGCAAGUCGAGCGCUGAAGGUUGGUACUUGUACCGACUGGAUGAGCAGCGGACGGGUGAGUAACGCGUGGGGAAUCUGCAUUUGAGCGGGGGACAACAUUUGGAAACGAAUGCUAAUACCGCAUAAAAGCUUUAAACACAAGUUUUAAGUUUGAAAGAUGCAAUUGCAUCACUCAAAGAUGAUCCCGCGUUGUAUUAGCUAGUUGGUGAGGAAAAGGCUCACCAAGGCGAUGAUACAUAGCCUACCCGAAAGGGUGGUCGGCUCACUUGGGAACGGAACACCGCCCCAACCCCUAAGGGAGGGAGCAGGAGGGAAUCUUCGGCAAUGGACGGAAGGCCUAACGAACAACGCCGGGGGAGUGAAGAAGGGUCUCGGAUCGUAAAACUCUGUUGGUAGAGAAGAACGUUGGUGAGAGUGGAAAGCUCAUCAAGUGACGGUACCUACCCAGAAAGGGACGGCUAACUACGUG